GCUUGAGACACAGCAGAUCAAGUCCUCCCCAGCACUGAGGACAUCUUCAAAAGGCUGGAGGAACUCAGCAGGUCAGACUGAAUCCACGAAAAUGGACAGUUGGUGUUUCGGGCUGAGAUCCAUCUUCAGGGAGGGAGCGAUUCGUGCGGAAUGUGGAGAGGCGGAGAGAGAGCCACACACAGCUCCCCAGGAAUGACGUGGAGACAGACAGGGAGAUCAGCUGCCAGCUUUCCCCACUGCCUUUACAGGAAGGUGCAAAGCAGUAACCCUGAAAAGGAUUUAAUUAGUCCGGGAAAGGAGGAAACCCUCAUGAUUGUAACAGCAGCUGCAAGCCAGUAAAUGACCACCACUGAUGUAUUCUCUGUUACCACACAACCAAAGCCACCUGUUCCUUUCCCUCUUCUCUAUUAAAUAAAGCAUGAUGCUUCAUUU